rnacentral:rRNA from 1 species
ACAAGGAUAUAAAGCUAUUGCAUGCGAUGCUUAUUCUAUAAGCGUUUGCCUUUAAAUGCAAGCUUAGCCCGUCGAUCUAAUCUAACUCAUUGCUUGAACGUACUUCGGUACUUCAGCUGGGUGGAAGUGUAUGAAUCGAAUAACAAUUUAUGUUGGUUAUAAUAACCUAAUUAUAAUAACACAGCUUAUUAUAAUAACUCGGUUUUAUUACUUUUAUUAAUAAAAGUAAUACAAUAUACAAUACACAGCGCUUUAGCGUUGGAAAGCAAACGUCUGUAGUUUUACUACUGCCUUAGAGUGUGACAGCCACGUUCUAAAUUGCUAUUGUAAUAAGAAGUAAUAACCGUUGUUAUUAAGGUUUAAACCGUAAUUCGUGAUUGUUGAUACCAGAGUCGAGUUGUUUGGGACUACAGCUCAAAUCGUUUGGAGGUGGUAAUGACACAUCUAAGGCUAAAUAUUGGUGUUUACUUAUAACAUGCAAUGGAAACCGAUAGCAAACAAGUACCGUAAGGGAACGAUGAAAAGCACCCUUCAUAGCGCACUAUGUUAUUAUUUCUUAUUUUAUAAGAUCUAAUACAUACUAAGCUCCAAAGGGAGUGAAAGAGAGAGUGAAAUCGCCUAACAUCUAUAAAAUCGCUAACAGCGCUCUUUAAAAUAAUGUUAUAUAAUUCAGCGAAGUACAAUCGGACAGAGUGUCUUUGUAUCUCUUUUUUUUAAGAGAUUAUAAGCGGGCUAUUACAUUUUUGAAAAUGUAAUAUGUUACGCUAUAACAAUCUUUUGUUAUUUUUUAGCAAUAAGAUUAUCAGGACACAACUAUCUGACCCGUCUUGAAACACGGACCAAGGAGUUCAACUGGAAUGCAAGUCUUAGAGAUUAUCAUUAAUCUCUUAUAAAGGCAAAGCGAAAGCAAUGUUCUUUCUUUUAUAAGUGUUAAGUCUUUAUUCACACAAAGACUGCCACACAAGCUGUUUACGGUCAUAUUGUUAGAGCCUUUGUGCUGUGCAUAUGCAUUAACUUUUGUCUUUUUAAGGCAUUAGUUUUAAUGGUUAAACAAGCUUAUUGAGCACUUUAGUUGAGACCCGAAAGAUGGUGAACUAUGCCCGGACAUGGUGAAGCCAGGUGAAAACUUGGUGGAAGCUUGCGUUGUGCGGAACUGACGUGCAAAUCGUUGCCGCCUGAUCUGGGUAUAGGGGCGAAAGACUCAUCGAACCAUCUAGUAGCUGGUUCCCUCCGAAGUUUCCCUUAGGAUAGCUCGAUAUUAAUACUAUAAUCUAAUUAAAAUAAUGUGUAACACAAGGGUAAAGCAAUGAGACGCGGUAUCUGUGGGUCUUAUCUUUAAUGACCUCGGCCUUCUCUCAAACUUUAAAUCUGUGCGAUUUCAUAUGCUUUCUUAGAUUAACCUAUUUAUUAGGUUAUAAGAAGCUAUGUAUAUCCUUUUGGAUAUAAACAAUUGUAACUAAAUAUCGUAGUGGGCCAUUCCUGGUAAGCAGGACUGGCGAUGAGGGAUUCAACCUGACGUUUUCAAGAUAAGCCGGGCUUAAUCUUAUCUGCUCCAACCUUCCGAUAAACGCGAAAGGGUGUUCCGUGUGGUGCAGACAGCAGGACGGUGGCCAUGGAAGUUGGAAUCCGCGUAAGGAGUGUGUAACAACUCACCUGCAGAAUCACACCGCCCCGAAAACGGAUGGCGCUCAAGCAGUUAAUAUAAUAGAUUUAUUUCUAUUGUAAUACCCGACACUUGACCAUUGUUAUUAUAUCUUUUUAUUAUAAUACAAUGAGUAGGAGGUUAUCAAUCGCGUGUGGAUAUACUUACGUGUGUUUAAUUGUUUUAAUAAAACACCACGUUUUGUUUACGCUUAGAAGCGGCAUCUCGUAAGAGGCCGUUGAGCUAUCCAUAGUGCAGAUCUUGGUACUAGUAGCAAGGAGUCUUACUGAGAUAUCUUAAAUGGUUAUAAUCUGUUUAUUUUUAUAAACAUUAUAACCUUCUUUUAACCGAGGAUGACCGAAGCGGAGAAAGGUUCCAUGUUGCAGCUUAGUGCGACGUGGGUGAGUCAGUCCUAAGGCUAAUGCCUGAAACAGGCUUUCAAUUCUGUUACAUCUUUUGUUUAGAUUAUAUUUCUAUUACUUGUAAUAGAUUUAUUACAUCUAACAAAUCGUAACGGUUGGCUAAACGGGAAUCGGGUUAAUAUUCUCGAACCACUGUAUGACAGUCUUAUUAUAAUUACAAAAAAUGUAAUAAUAACCUUAUCGCGGCAACGCUAAAGUUGGGUUGUUUAUUUUAAAACGACCUCAACCACAAGGCAAGUUACUUGAGGCGAGAAUCCUGACAGGGUUAUCUAACCUGUUUAACCUUUUUGUUUAAAUAGAUUUUUAAUCUAUUAUAACAAUCUAACAAUAUAAUCUUAUAACAACAACAACCAAGUGUUGAGCGGCAUUUAGUGAACGAUGCACUUGGUUAUUUGCCCAUUAGCAAUGGGAAGAGCACUGGUGUCUGUAGAUUACUAUGUAUUUCUCUUAUUUCUAAUAAGAGCGGUAUCAUAUGUACUCUCAGGCAAUUUACCUGGUGUCUAUGGACUUCUUGUUCUCAGGCGUGAAAAGCUUGUCUCGUAUUAUUAACACUAUUAUAACAAUAAUAUACUAUUGUUAUAUUACAAAAAUAACCAUACACUGCUACAGUGUCUGUACUCAUAACCGCAUCAGGUCUCCAAGGUUUGCAGCCUUUGGUCGUAUAGAAAUACGGUGGGUAAGGGAAGUCGGCAAAUUCGGUCCGUACUUACGAUACAAGGACUGGCUCCGAAGGUGAAUGAAUUCCAUAGCUAUUAAUCUUUCUUUUUUAUUAAAGCUAUUUGUAAUUACAAAUACGCUUUAUAAAAGAAAUGCACUUUUUACAAGUGUAUAAUUGCUAUUGCGUAUAUAUCCCAACCUUUGAGAACUGGCACGGACUCGGGGAAUCCGACUGUUUAAUUAAAACAUAGCAAAGUGCAAUGUUUUCUUAUGUAGAUUGAUUUGCCUUUAAAGAUUCGUCUUUAAUACUAUCUCAGUCGCAUUACUUUUUUUAAUUAGUCCGAAAUGGAUUUGAACACUUUGUGUAUUCUGCCCAGUGCUCUGCAAGUUAUUCUGUGUGGAUACAGCAUUUUAAGCGCGGGUCAACGGCGGGAGUAACUAUGACUCUCAACCUUUAGGGAGACGAUAGUGGGGUAUUAGAUUCUGUACAGUCUAAUAUUAAGCCUGCUAGUGCAUAUACCAUAAUAGAUACAGGUGGUAUAGCGCAACACGAUCUGGUACGAGGAAACCUUCCAAGCUAGUAACUAAUCUUGUGAUAUUGGAAUAUAUAUAUUCUAAUAUGUAUAGAGAUUUGUGAACGUAUGAUGGCAAUCUCGUGGGGAGCUAUAAUCUCGUGAGAGAUUAUAAUAGCCCUCGUAGAGCAUGGUAAGACGUGGGAGAAGUAUAUUAACCAAUCAUUUUUAACAACCAACUUCAAUUAAUUCAAAUACAACACCACAAAUACAAUGGAAACUUCAUACAAAGUUAUCGUUUAAUCGCGGGACUUUGUGUGUUUCCAAAAAGCGUGGAAUACACUCUUUAGUUUCGGCACAUAAUCCUUACCGGGCACUAAACACCGCAUGCCCUGUCCCCCGGGGGCCUUACUGCCACACUCACACACAUCCGGCCCUCCGCAGGUAUUCCGCCCCUUAUUUAUAUGCAAAGGCUCGAGGCCCGAAUGAUAAGGGCAUUGGCAGAGGUUGACGUGCUCCAAGUGGGACAGAGAGUAGUCCUUUCCGUUCUUAGCGAUUUGGAAAAAACUCUUCCCAGUGUCCCUCAUUGCCUGUGCAACAUGCCGCACCUUAUCCGCCCGGAUCGCAUAGUGGUCGCGCGUUCUAAGAAAAAUAAACAAAACACACGUUUUAAGAUUUGUUCUUAAAAGUCUGUCCUUUUAAAGAUUAAACGCUUUUAAGAUUAAAUUCUUUUAAGUUUAGCUUUUUAAGGUUUGCCUUUUUAAGGUUUGAUAAAUAGCAAGAUUUGCUUAAAGAGCUAGUUUCUAUACAAACCAAAUCAGCUAGUUUCUAUAGAACGCAAAUGAGCUAGUUUCUAAUACAAAUCUACAUACUUUCGCGUCGGCCACAAAGCCAGCAUCUCUUUGAUGAUCCUCGGGUCCUCGAGCUUUGCCAUGAUAAGGUGGUCGCGGCCCAUCUGGAAUCCUGAGGCACUGCCGCGCGAUUUUGCGUAAAGCACGCCCUUAUAAUCCUUAGGGUAUCCGCGCAUUAGGCAGUGGCGCUCUCUGCUGUACACUCGGCAAUAGUGCCCGUUGAGCUUUUUGCCUGCCCGCUUUGUGACUAAUGGCAUAUAAACCAUAAAAUCGCGGUGCACCCGCUCGAGAUAUUGCGGCACAGAGGGGCGGAAGGGCAGUCGAGCGGGCAGGCGGGAUUUUAAACCCAUUUUCUUCUUUUUAAUGUGCUCUUUGAGGUCGAGGGCCUGCUGUUGCGACAUGGCCAUAGAGCUAGUGCCAAAAGGGCGGGUUGACGCCAUGAUAAGAGAGUGAAAGUUGCUAAGAGUGAAUUGUUGUUUUCUUGUUAAUAAUGAGAGUUGCUUAUACUUCUCUUAAGGAACAUGCCUGUCUAUCCGAUAACAAAGGAUAAGUUUAAGAUUAGAACCUGUAUUUCGAAGCUUAAACUAGUUCUAGAUAAACAAACAACGUUUUAUGCUUUUAGCAUCAAAGAGCAUAAAACAAUCUUUGUUUAAGAACUGAAUUUUUCGGCUUAAGGUAGCCAAAUGCCUCGUCAUUUAAUUGGUGACGCGCAUGAAUGGAUCAACGAGAUUCCCACUGUCCCUACUCACUCUCUAGCGAAAUUACAGCCAAGCCAACGGUCUUGGGAUAGUACUUGUGUGUAAUAUUAACAUGUGUCACAAGACAUAUUUGUUAUAAUAAACACAAUUAACGGUUUAAUACAUUUACAAUACAAUGUCGUGUUAUUAAUAACACUACGAUUGUAAUAGUAUUAUUGUUAUUAUAACAAUCUAAUACUAAUAACGUACAACAGCGGGGCAAGAAGACCCUUUUGAGCUUGACUCUAAUCUGUUAUUGUCAUCUGGUCGGCAUGGCGAAGAUUGUAAGAGGCAGUGCAUUUAUUUGUACGACCAUGAAACACCGCUACUUGACGAUUUGGCUGACUAACUGUAUAGGCAUUGCCUUUUUACAGUGUUAGAAACAACAUACAUUUCCGGUCUAAAAGAGCUUAUAAUACAAAUUGUAUUAUACUCUUAACCGUUUAUGUAAGCAUUGUGGCAUUCGUUUCUUUUUAUAACGACCAUUGUUCUCUCGUCUUUUACUUAUAUAGAUUUAUAUUCUAUUUGUAAUAGGCUAUUAAUUUGUUAUAGCCUUAGACUUGUUGAAAUGCCCUAUGCCAAUGAGCUACCAUUUUAAACAUAGCAUUACGAGCAUUGGACUACAAUGUCUGUAUUGAUUCUUUUUUAAUAGCUUCGGCUGUUAAUAAGAAUACAAAUCUAAUGACAUAUACCCAUUAUAGCAAUUGUACAGGACAUUUGCAGAAUGGGAGUUUGGCUGGGGUGGCACAUCUGUUAGAAUGCAACACAGGUGUCCCAAGGGCAGCUCCGUGAGAACAGAAACCUCUCAUCGAGUAUAAGGGCAAAAGCUGUCUUAAUCUAAGUACCUUCAGUAACGGUACACAAUGAAAUAUAAUACUUGCCUGUCUUAUGUUUACUCGUAAACAUGUAUGGCUUGUCUAGUGUGAAAGCACGGCCUAGCGAUCCUUUAGUGAACGUAUGAAUUCUAUGGUUUAUUACUUAUGUGUAAUACAUUCUCUUAAACGUAUUAAAUCUUUAACCAUUAAAGCCUUAAAGAGUGUGUAUUUUACGAUUCUUAUCGUGGUUAUGCCAUUCUGUAUUAAGUGCUAUAUUGGUAUUUUAAUAGGGUUUAUUACAUUUAAACAAUAAGAGUCUUAUUACCAUAAGACCUAUUACUUUUUGCGGCUAGAGGUGUCAGAAAAGUUACCACAGGGAUAACUGGCUUGUGGCCCCGGAGCGUUCAAAGCGAUGGGGCUUUUUGAUUCUUCGAUGUCGGCUCUUCCUAUCCUGCGGUUGCAUACGGCCGCAAGGGUAAGUUUGUUCACCUGCCAACAGGGAACGUGAG